rnacentral:rRNA from 1 species
UACGUAGGGGGCAAGCGUUGUCCGGAAUUAUUGGGCGUAAAGAGCGUGUAGGCGGCCAGAUAAGUCCGCUGUGAAAUCUCGAGGCUCAACUUCGAGCUGUCGGUGGAAACUAUCUGGCUAGAGUCCGGAAGAGGAGAAUGGAAUUCCUGGUGUAGCGGUGAAAUGCGCAGAUAUCAGGAGGAACACCGAUGGCGAAGGCAGGUCUCUGGGCCACUACUGACGCUGGAGAAGCGAAAGCAUGGGGAGCGAACAGG